UUUAAUUUCUAUUCAUUAUUUUGUAAAAUCUUUUUAUACAAUACUUCUUUAAUGGUUAACUGAUAUAAUUAAGUUGAAAUUAUGCUUAUAUCUUUGCUGAAUGUAAAGUUAUCACGUCUGAAAGAUGUACAGGAUAGGUGGAUGAAAACUUUUUUGACACAGUGUAUAUAUAUAUAUAUAUUCUAAAAUUUUUUGAGAAUUUUUAUUUAAGUUGACCUAAUAAUACAAACAAACAAAAAAGUCAUUGAAUUUUUGGAAUUUUAAAACCAUUGGGAAUUCGGCAGAUUACACGGUUGAUGACUAAUGUUUACAAUCAAAGUUUAACAUGGCUGGUGGCAAGUGUAAAGAGAAAUUUGAAGGCACAAACAUUUAUGAGGUUGUUGUUGAGAGCAUCAUGUUAAGUAAAGCAACUGCAGUUUCUGAAGUCAGAAGAAAUAUCAUGAAUAUAUUGAAAUAUGCACGCGAUUGAUCAAAUGGUGGUGGUCGGGGCAUAAAUGGCAACUCGGAUAUAUAGUUGAAAAAGUAUAGUAGGGCAAGCAAAAUGUACAUUCUAGCUGUUUGGAUAGAAAAUACAGAGAAAUA
rnacentral:lncRNA from 1 species